GAACAAGUACUUCUACAGGUCUAUCCGUGUGGUGAGGUGUGACAAGAGGCUCAGAAUUAGUCGAUGUAUAAGGAAAGUACUGCAGAACCCCGACCAGGCCCGGCAGAGUCUCUGCCCCUCGACUGAGUGUCCAGAAAGCAGCCCCUGAAGGUUUCUCUGUAUUUGAGGAUUAUGGAUCUUCCCUCCCUGGAGAAAGAAAAAAAUUCCAUACGGUCCUUGGCCACAGAAGACAUUGAGGGCUCCUAAACUUACAUGGACAGACACUGUGAAGUUGUAUCCACUUCAGCAGCAUCAACUGAAUAUGGAAAUGACUAAUUGAGGAAAGUUG